UGACAUGAGAAUAAUGGGUAGAUAGGUUUCUGCCCAGUAUAAUUUAUUAAUUUUAGUAAAUUUUUACACAAAAAAAUUUAAUGUGCAAUUGUGCAUACAUUAAUUUAGUAUACAUAUAUUUUGUAUGUGUGUUUGUGUAGUAGAUGCCUUACAUUGCUUUUGCAGUUUUUUGAAGGCAUUGUUUGCAAUCGAUUGCUCAAUUUAUCAACUUUUCCAGUGGGUGUUUCUAGAUGAAAAUUUCUUGAAGGCAUUGUAUGAAUUAUGUUGUCAUCAAUUAGGUAACGUGAAUUUGUGAUGGUAUCAGAUCCUAAACUUACGCUAAUCGUGAAUUUGUGAUGCACCGAGGCAAGGAAGUCAUUAAACAGACUGCCUGUUGGGCAAGUCUUUGACAAUAUCAUCUACAAUUUCUGACUUUCUGUGAGAAGGCUUUGGCUUAGUAAGCCAAAAAGUGCUCUUCAAACCGCACUUGUAUUUUGGAUUUGUGAACAUGAAUUUAUUAACUUGGUUGCUCAAGUUGAAUUAUUUUGUUGUGGCCCUUGUGGAUGUGAAUUUUGUUGUAAUCAACUUAGUAACUAUAAUAAUUUUUUCAAACGAUGAAACCAAACCAAGCGUUUGAAACCAAACCGAACCGAACCAAAUGAUUUGGUUUCAUUUCGGGUUUAGCCUCAAAAUAGUACCGAACCAAACCGUAAAAACUUGCGGUUUUGAUUUUGGUUUCAUUCAAAACUGCACCAAACCGAACCGCGCCCACCCCUAGCCACAACUCCAUCUCUUUCGUUUCUCUCAUCCUAUAACGGAAGAAAGAUGGAAAAUCAGGGCUCUUCCAUUUGCUUCCACAGAUUUCUCGAGCUCCGGAUCGCUAGCCUCCGUAUGAAGGAAAUCGUCAAUCUUAACCUGAUACUCGGUGACCUUUAGAGCAGCUUCAUUCUCUCUUCUUCUCCAACCAUGGUUCCAUAUCCACUGGGCAUCAAGCAAAAUCACCGCCACCACCCAACAAACCCAUGAUCUGGAAUUUCAAUUACUGUGCAUGGAGGGAGUUAUCUGUGGAGGUUUAGUUGAACAUGUAGACAAUAUCCGGUUGCUUGAAGGCAGGAAUGUCUGGUAUUGCUCACCUGGUAUGUUUAAUUUUCAUUGAAUUAUGAGAUAUAUCUAAUUUAAUUGGCAAUUUAAGUUGCCCAACUCUUUCUGGAAGAGUCCUGUUAAACUGGGAUGAGACCUGAUAUUGAACUGGGAAGAGUCCUGUCAAACAUAUCGGAUAUAUCUUCAUUUAAAUUGUCGUUUGACAUAUCAAGAUCCUUCAACUUCGCCUCACUAAUCCCAAUUUUCAGUAGGAUUUCCACCUCUAUGAUUGGGAUUUCGACAACGGUAAUACUUGGUUGGGUGGUAAGAUAAAUCCUUUUUGCUCCAUUUGAAGCAUCUUAACCACUUGGAUUUGAAUUACAACAAUUUUCAAGGAUUGCAGGUUCUCCAACAACCCAUUUAGGUGGAGAUUUGAUUCCAUAUUGUUUACACAUCUAUCUUAAAUGCUGUCUUGCAGAAUCUGUAGUUAAUUCCAAGUUUACUAUCUGAUGUGCUAUUAGAUGCUAUUUUUUGAAGAUUUUUCUUUGCAAUUUAGUAAUUGGACUGCUCCUUUAGCUGUAUGAACUCAGUAAAAGUAUCAGGUUGUGGACUCUGAACUGUUGAUUCUCUACGGUUUCUUCUGCCUUGUCCAAUUGUUAUCAUUAUUCCAAUUGGGUAAUUUUGGGUUUUUAACAAUGCUUAUUUGUUUAUUGAUAAAUUAUGGGGUCCUCUUAAUUGGGAUGGUAUUAUUCCUUCUAAAUGUAAAUUUGUCUUCCAGUUCUUCUAAAUGUAAUUUUUCAUAUUUCUUCUGUGUGCUGAUUUAUUCAAUUUGUUGAAUUUUGAAAUCACUUGAUGAAAUAAAAUUUCCGAAAUAUGUUAAGAGUACUUAUACGCGUCUGAUUCGAGUUUCAAAACAACAUUUACAUUCAUAGUGUCUCUUUUGUUCAAUGGAUAAACAAGUGUAGAUGAACUCGAUUAUGUCAAAUUGAAUGCUUAAUGCCCGCUACAUGUUUGAUAAAAGAUGCCAGUGAAGCAUGCCCACGCACAUGGUUUUAUAGGUAAUUUUUCUUUGUUCUUCGUUUUUGUGUUUAUAAAUUUGGACUUUUAUGGUGAAACAUUGAUAGAUUUGGAAUUUUAUGGGUGAAACAUUGAAGAAUCAAACGUUAUUACUUUUUACUGCAAAAAUUUUGCAUAUUUUGUUCUUCAAUUUUGCCAGAGUUAAUUUUAAAUGCCAACUUUCCUUUUUCCUUUUUCUAGGUAAUUGAUCGUUAUGCGGUUUGUAAGUUGGAUUUUUCUAACUGGUAGAUUAUCGAAUUGAUAAAAUUGGGGAAUUUGAUUUGUAGUGUCAAAUUGGUGCAGCAUGAGUUAUGGCAGCGGGAACAGAAGGGGUUAAUUGGUAUUCUUCCCGUUCAAGAUGCUGCCAAGGCAGCAACAGUGGACUCUGUGUUUUUUAUCAUUUUUGUUUGUUCAUGAUUAUAUUGAAUGUUUUUCAGGUUAAAUUUGUCUUAUUCAUUUAGUUAAGGCUGAUGCAUUCAAGU